UUGGUUCAAUGUGGUAUUUGUUCUUUUGUUGCCAUUGUUUUGUUAGGUCCUUAGAUUUAUUUCUUUAGUAAUCAUGGUUCUAGAUCAUUUUUACUGGGGAAGCUAUAUAAGUGAUUUUUUUUUUUCCUGCAGGAACCCAAGUCCAAAAAAUCUCUGCUUGCCAUACACAUUGCUAUACACAGGCAUAGGCUGAUGGGUCUCUUCUAAACUGUUCUGAUUUCCAAAAGGUUGAAGAUGCAAGGAGAUGACAUUACUAAAAUGACUUGGUUCUCGGUGCGAUGCUAUUUGCAUCUAAGUUCUUUCCAAUGCUGCUUAAAAACGUGGAGAAGUAUGGAGUCAAUAAGGGAAAUAGGACAAUGCCAUCUCGUGAUUAGGAGAUCUGAACCCAGUUGGUAUGCGUGAGAAGCCCUAGCCAUAUGGAGAGGUCAUGUGUUGAUGCCAGUCAGUUGCCUCAGUGAAAACCAGCCUUUGAAUCACUACAGCCAUCCCAUGAGACAUUAAGUGAAGAAGCCUCCAGAUGAUUACAGCCUUUAACUAUAUCAGGAAAAACAUUUUGUGCCCUACCUUUAUUGAGAGAUUAUUUUUAAAUGAUUGAAGAAGACAGGGAGAGACUGUACUCCUGAGAUGGGUCUAUUGAUUGCGAGACAAUACCAGGAAGACUUCUGGCGUGCUUGUAUUACUCCAUAUCCUGAUCUGGAGUUGCAAUUACCCCUGGGAAGAAGGCUCCACUGCCCAAGCACACAGCUGUAAUCUUCAGAAGACUACCCUUUGGCCAAACCUGCAUAGAGCUGGAGGUGCCAGGGAACUUGUGUCUCUCAAAGGGCAGCCUACAUCCAGUGACUGACUGAUGAGGAAGAGUGAAAGCCCAGCUCCUUUUCCUCAAGAUAAGGUUAUAAAUGUCAACCAAUUUGAAGGUAUGGAAAAGGAGAGAGAAAAAUGGAACAAAUUUCAGAGAAGAGGCACAGCUGAUGAGAACAGCAUUCUUAUCAAUGAGGUUUUUAAAUAUCAAGUUUCCAUCACACAGAAAGGGAUCAGCUGUGAAUCUGGGACGGUUUCUUUCAUACUUGGUAUUUCCUGGCUCCUGGCAGUUCCUUGUGAGUGACUACUGGACACCUGGGUUCCAUUUGGGACCCAAGGCUUUACAUCAUCUGUGAACCAGGUGGAGUGAACAGCAGAGCUGGCAUUGGAGGAAUUUGAGAAUAGGUGAAAGAGACUCCACGGAGUUCUCAUUCUCUCAUUGUAGGAAUUCUAGAAAGUUACCUGGUUGCAAUAAAAAUGCCUACUGCUGCCCUUUAAA